rnacentral:rRNA from 1 species
UACAGAGGUCUCAAGCGUUGUUCGGAAUCACUGGGCGUAAAGCGCACGUAGGCGGAUCGUUAAGUCGGGGGUGAAAUCCCAGAGCUCAACUCUGGAACUGCCUUCGAUACUGGCGAUCUUCGAGUCCGGGAGAGGUGAGUGGAACUCCGAGUGUAGAGGUGAAAUUCGUAGAUAUUCGGAAGAACACCAGUGGCGAAGGCGGCUCACUGGCCCGGUACUGACGCUGAGGUGCGAAAGCGUGGGGAGCAAACAGG